UCCCUGGUGGUCCAGUGGUUAAGACUCCGCGCUCCGGAUGCAGGCGGCCCGGGUUCGAUCCCUGGUCAGGGAA